AGGUUCUGACUUGUUCUGGUGGGUCUCUGGGAGGCUGGAUAUUCUACCCCCACCCCAGAGAAGGCACAGUGGUGACAAAGAGCAGUGACAUCCACCACGUGGCCAGAACAGGGGCCUGCAAGCAAGUGACCAUGUGAGCCACUAUGUACUUCUGUGUGUCAAGGUGGGAGGGGUGUCCUUCCUUCCCGGGACCUGCCUAACCCUCUGUAGCUGGGUGGUGGGUGUGCUGGGAGAGUCUCCUCCGACUCUUUCUUGGGCCCUGGUGUCCCUGAGGAAUAUCUAUAGGCUCAGAAUAUGGCUGAGCUAUAGGCCAAGGCUGCAAUGUGCACAGGGUCUAACCUGGGCUAUCUUGUUCAUAUUCUCAUCUGCAUGGCUUCUCUCUGUUCUGUGUGCUUGACUGCUCCCCACAGAGGCCAUUUCUGGCCUCCAUGGGCAGCAUAGGCCUUCUGUACACGGUUGGAGGCAGUCUUGUGGAGUGUGACAGGGGUCUCCAUUAGACUGGGAGGUUCAGGGGCUCCUGGCCCUUGUGGGGGAGGGGCCUGAAUCCUGCUGCUCUGGGUGGAGUUUCUGCCUGUCCUUGUCCCUGUCCCAGGCCCAGUGGGACUGUGUGAAUGCCAAGUACAAACAGAAGAAGCGCAAUUACAAGAACUCUGGGGUGGUGAUCCUGGCGGACCUGAAGCUCCACAGGGUCCACUCCUUCCUGGAUUACAUCAUGGGUGGCUGCCAGAUCCACUGCACGGUAGCCAUCGACUUCACAGCCUCCAAUGGUGACCCAAGGAACAGCUGCUCCCUCCACCACAUCAACCCUUACCAGCCCAACGAGUACCUGAGGGCGCUGGUGGCCGUGGGCGAGGUCUGCCAGGAUUAUGACAGUGACAAGCGAUUUUCUGCUUUGGGAUUUGGAGCCCGGAUACCUCCAAAGUAUGAGGUGUCCCAUGACUUUGCCAUCAACUUCAACCCCGAGGACGAUGAGUGUGAAGGUAGGAGCUGGAAGUGGGUUUGGCAACGUGCGACAUCGGCCCAGGCUCACCCCUCCGUUCCCUACAGGGAUCCAGGGUGUGGUAGAGGCCUACCAGAACUGCCUGCCGAGGGUCCAGCUCUACGGCCCCACCAAUGUGGCCCCCAUCAUCUCUAAGGUGGCACGCAUGGCAGCAGCUGAGGAGCGCACAGGGGAGGCUUCUGUAGGUGACUGGGGGCAGGGAUUGCAUGCACCCGGCUGUAGCACCAGUUAACUGUGUGUGUAGUCGUGGUGAGGACCAGAGAAGCAGUUAUCUGGGUAGAGUUGAGGCAGGCAGUGAGGGGUGGGAUGAGGGAAGGGUCCAGGAUGCCAGCUGGUGGCUCCCUCAAAGCCUCAGGCAGUCUGUUUUUAGUUUAGGCAGAAGACUGAAACACUUCAAAGUCAGCCCUUAUUAUCUCAGACAGACACUGGUCUGCCUCAGUUUCCCUCCUGUCCCUCUGCACCUCUGCGGGUAUCACAUACCGGCUUUCUUUUAGGCAUCCUCAGGGUGCACAUUUCCCUCAGGGCCGUGUUCUGCUCUCUGUAGCCCUCUGUGUGCUGCUGAGACACAGCCAGCCUGCUGCUUUCUCUUAAUUUUUCAUUUUGAAAAAAAAAAAUAAUAUUGUGCUUACAAGGGACCAGCACAUGACUUCUGGCCAUCCACCAAGUCGUAAUAGCUACCAGCUUGCACCUUUCUUCCUUCCCUUCUCCCUUCCACCUCCCUGGUCCAUCUCAUCCUCUCCUCCUUCCCACCCCGUCGUCCUGCCUCCAUCCCCUUCACGUAUGCAUGCACUAAGUGUCCUUCUGAACUAUUUAAGAGGCUGAAGCUUAAUGUCACUUCCUCCCUAAAUGUGCAUGAUGCCCACGCCUGCCGGGUGGGUCUCAUGUAUAUCAAUGUCUGGCAGGGCACGGAAGGCAGCUCCUCCUGCUAUCUAAUCCUACUAGGUCCCUGCUCUUACCUGUCCCCAGAUGCCCCCAGGUGUGGUCUGAUUUGGACUUUGCUCGUCCCCUUCAUCUUGACCCCCACAGACUCUAUCAUGACCCUUCAGACUCCACCUGGAACCCCCAGACUCUGGUCACGAGUAGUCCUGCUGCCCAACAGCACUCUGAGGGGGAGGAGGGUGUAGAGGAGGCAGCAAGCUGGUCUU
rnacentral:lncRNA from 1 species